ensembl:lincRNA Gm28515 predicted gene 28515
AGACGCGGGUGUAAGGCGAGCCUCCUGGGAUCCAUAAUCUGGAAUCCUCAAGGGAUUGGAAUUGUCUGCCUUUUUGAUAAAAGAUGUCAGCUCCCCUUCUGGGUCUGGAAGAGAAAGAAGCCUUCUGAUUCUGACACUACUUGUGUGUCACCAAGUCUGUGGAGAAAAAAAAAAAAUCUUGCUUAUGGUAAAUGUACUUCCUGUGUCCGUCAAAGUCCUUAAUUUUUUUUUUUUCAGGAGAAAACUAAGCCAAAUUGGGGUUUGGAAAGCACACAGUCCAAAGCCCUUGUUCUGCCUGGAGAGGCUGCUUCAUGCAGAUGGAAGGUUCUUGAUUGUUACCUAAUUCAAAGAUUUUCAAAACCCACUCCAGAAUUGGCAAUUGUUAUCUCUUUAAGAGGACCGGGCCCAAUUAACCCAGAGAGUGAGAGAGUUCUGCUGUUCCUGGUCUGUGGUUGUUGUAUGGUUUGUUUUGCCUCGGGAAAAAAAAAAUGCUGCUUGAAAAAAAUUCUUCCUCAGCUGAAGUUCAACAAAGGAAAAAAAAAAAUUAGCCCUAUGAAGAAUCAGCAGCAGACUUCCUCACACAUGAGAAACCCCAAGGAAAUAAAUAUUUAUUGAAUGAGAGCCUGAAUAUUAAAUAGCCACCAAGAACCAAGGCAAGUGAUUAGAUCCAAAAGGAAAAGCCAAGUGACAUCAGAGACUGCUGACUCAAGCAAGCUAGAGCACAGGUGUGCUCACACCCAACCCCUCCAGGACACUUCCAGAAGACACUCAUUCUCCCAACAAGCAUGCAUGGUACAUCCGGUCUCUUCUGAAUUCUCCAAAGUGGACUAAGGUGGUACAGAGCAGGAAGCCACAGCCUCUUGUCACCACAAGCAACUAUCUAUUGGGUAGGAGGGAAGGAGAAGGCAGACAGAAUCUAAGGGCACAAAUGACCACAGACUUAAUACGAACACAAGCACCACCUCCCCCGCUAUCUUUUGAAGAUUGGUCCCCAGCUGGUGGCAAUAUUUUUGAAGGCUGUAAAUACUUGGAGAGGUGAGGUCAAACUGAAAGAAGUGUGUGUGUUUGGGGGGGGGGUAUGUAGUAUCAGUGCCUGCUUCCUCUCUCAGUACCUGCUUCCUGUUCAGUCGUGAAGAGAAGAGUGUCCUCUACCACACGUUCUAGCCACCAUGCACCUGGAAUCAAGCAUCAUGGAGUGGGAAUGUCCUCCCUGUCCCCCAAGAGCCACAAACUAUCUAACAAAACUCCAGUGCUUUUCGAGGUAAAUUGCUAAGAUGAUAUAGAUUAUUUCCAUAGCCCUUGGCCUCCUUCCGGAUCUUGAAGGUAAAACCCUGUUGCAGAAGAUGCAGCACACUUUAGACACACAAGACUUGGAGGAGUCAAGCCGGAACGGACAUAGGGUCAUCCUUCCUGAGGACUAGAUCUCAUAGUAUCUGAAGAGGCACAGUAAGAUGCUGUGGGGAAAAAGUCAGUUAAUAGUCCUACCCAGCUAUACAUCUCUGAGUCACAAUGACUGUCUUGACAAGUUAGCCUCAAUGGUAUAGUAGUAGCACUUUUAUCUCAGAGCAAUCAACAGCUGCCCAACUGGAGUUAAAGAAUAUCUACUCAAUAGGAGGGAGCCAUGUUUGGUACGGUAAACCUAGACAAAUAACUACGACUGCUCGUCAUAGACCCUAGUGGAGAAGCUACUACUACUAUUUUCCUAAACCAGUGUCCCUUCUACCUAUAUUACAAAUUAUUCAUCCUUAUGACUACAGAUACCUGUAGGUCUCAGCUCUCAUUAACGAAGUUUCUUUUUGUAGCAGAUGGAGACUAUUACAGAGAUCAACAACCGAUCCAAAUGUGGAGAAUAAAUUCAGGUAGAGUACACUUUUGACACAUCUACAAUUCAACCACUCGGCUCAGAGAAUGCCAUGGAAAAGAGUGCAAAGAUUGUAAAAGACACACCCUGACACCUGCUGUUACAUGAUGUCUUUGAGACAUGACAGGGAAGCUGUACCAAUGAAACCUCAAAAGUAUGCUUACCUAAACAGGACUUACACCAUGAUAACAUCAGUUGACAUGUCAUUGCGGAUGGAGGAAAUUUCAUAAGGUCCCUCUCCUGGAUGAAGAGCUACCGGCAAUCAAUGGCUGGAAAGAAAGAGAGGAGCUAUUUUCUCCAGGCACCAGUUCCCUGAUAGGAGAUCCAAGCCCAGAUGGUCAGCUCUAAACACGUGGCAUUCUAGUCUGAAAUCCCAACAUUCUGUAGGCUGAGAAAGAUGGAUCAAGUGUUCAAGGCCAGCCUGGACAGAAGAUCAAGACUGUCUCAAAACGAGCUGGCUCCUCUCAAGAACAUUGAUAGCGCUUGGGCACAGCCAGGAUGAGACCUCGGAAAGAGCAGGACCUCACCAAAAUGUUUCCACCCAAUUGUGAAAAAGAGCUAAAUCGCUCUUAAGUCUGAUGAUGACUUCUUUCCUUAAUUAAUUAACAAAUGCUCAUACUAAUGAAUCAGAAGAGCUUAAUUCAUGUCUUUAUUUUGAAAAAAAAAAAAGAAGUGAAAUUGUUCC